rnacentral:rRNA from 1 species
AACGAACGCUGGUGGUAGGCUUAACACAUGCAAGUCGAACGCCCCGCAAGGGGAGUGGCAGACGGGUGAGUAACGCGUGGGAACAUACCCUUUCCUGCGGAAUAGCUCUGGGAAACUGGAAUUAAUACCGCAUACGCCCUACGGGGGAAAGAUUUAUCGGGGAAGGAUUGGCCCGCGUUGGAUUAGCUAGUUGGUGGGGUAAAGGCCUACCAAGGCGACGAUCCAUAGCUGGUCUGAGAGGAUGAUCAGCCACAUUGGGACUGAGACACGGCCCAAACUCCUACGGGAGGCAGCAGUGGGGAAUAUUGGACAAUGGGCGCAAGCCUGAUCCAGCCAUGCCGCGUGAGUGAUGAAGGCCUUAGGGUUGUAAAGCUCUUUCACCGAUGAAGAUAAUGACGGUAGUCGGAGAAGAAGCCCCGGCUAACUUCGUGCCAGCAGCCGCCGUAACAC